UACGUAGGGGGCAAGCGUUGUCCGGAUUUAUUGGGCGUAAAGAGCGUGUAGGCGGUUCGGUAGGUCCGUUGUGAAAACUCGAGGCUCAACCUCGAGACGCCGAUGGAAACCCUCGAACUAGAGUCCGGAAGAGGAGAGCGGAAUUCCUGGUGUAGCGGUGAAAUGCGCAGAUAUCAGGAAGAACACCCGUGGCUAAGGCGGCUCUCUAGUACGGUACUGACGCUGAGACGCGAAAGCGUGGGGAGCGAACAGG
rnacentral:rRNA from 1 species